CACUAGAAGAAAUAAUGGCAACACAACACAACAAAUAGUCAAUGGGUGAUGCCAAUCAAAACAGCCUAGCUGCUUGUACAUUGUUUGAUUUUGAUGUCGAACGUUUUCUUCUUCUUCUUCUUCUUCUUCUUCU
rnacentral:ribozyme from 1 species